GAUGAACGCUGGCGGCGUGCCUAAUACAUGCAAGUCGAGCGAACAGACGAGGAGCUUGCUCCUCUGACGUUAGCGGCGGACGGGUGAGUAACACGUGGAUAACCUACCUAUAAGACUGGGAUAACUUCGGGAAACCGGAGCUAAUACCGGAUAAUAUAUUGAACCGCAUGGUUCAAUAGUGAAAGACGGUUUUGCUGUCACUUAUAGAUGGAUCCGCGCCGCAUUAGCUAGUUGGUAAGGUAACGGCCUACCAAGGCGACGAUGCGUAGCCGACCUGAGAGGGUGGUCGGCCACACUGGAACUGAGACGCGGACCAGGCUCCUACGGGAGGCAGCAGUAGGGAAUCUUCCGCAGUAGGCGAAAGCCUGACGGAGCAACGCCGCGUGAGUGAUGAAGGUCUUCGGAUCGUAAAGCUCUGUUAUUAGGGAAGAACAAAUGUGUAAGUAACUAUGCACGUCUUGACGGUACCUAAUCAGAAAGCCACGGCUAACUACGUG
rnacentral:rRNA from 1 species